GGGGAAUAUUGCACAAUGGGGGAAACCCUGAUGCAGCGACGCCGCGUGGAGGAAGAAGGUCUUCGGAUUGUAAACUCCUGUUGUUGGGGAAGAUAAUGACGGUACCCAACAAGGAAGUGACGGCUAACUACGUGCCAGCAGCCGCGGUAAAACGUAGGUCACAAGCGUUGUCCGGAAUUACUGGGUGUAAAGGGAGCGCAGGCGGGAAGACAAGUUGGAAGUGAAAUCUAUGGGCUCAACCCAUAAACUGCUUUCAAAACUGUUUUUCUUGAGUAGUGCAGAGGUAGGCGGAAUUCCCGGUGUAGCGGUGGAAUGCGUAGAUAUCGGGAGGAACACCAGUGGCGAAGGCGGCCUACUGGGCACCAACUGACGCUGAGGCUCGAAAGUGUGGGUAGCAAACAGGAUUAGAUACCCUGGUAGUCCACACCGUAAACGAUGAUUACUAGGUGUUGGAGGAUUGACCCCUUCAGUGCCGCAGUUAACACAAUAAGUAAUCCACCUGGGGAGUACGACCGCAAGGUUGAAACUCAAAGGAAUUGACGGGGGCCCGCACAAGCAGUGGAGUAUGUGGUUUAAUUCGACGCAACGCGAAGAACCUUACCAAGUCUUGACAUCCCGAUGACCGGCCCGUAACGGGGCCUUCUCUUCGGAGCAAGGAGACAGGUGGUGCAUGGUUGUCGUCAGCUCGUGUCGUGAGAUGUUGGGUUAAGUCCCGCAACGAGCGCAACCCUUAUGGUCAGUUACUACGCAAGAGGACUCUGGCCAGACUGCCGUUGACAAAACGGAGGAAGGUGGGGAUGACGUCAAAUCAUCAUGCCCUUUAUGAUCUGGGCUACACACGUACUACAAUGGCGUUAAACAAAGAGAAGCAAGACCGCGAGGUGGAGCAAAUCCCAAAAAUAACGUCUCAGUUCGGACUGCAGUCUGCAACUCGACUGCACGAAGCUGGAAUCGCUAGUAAUCGCGAAUCAGAAUGUCGCGGUGAAUACGUUCCCG
rnacentral:rRNA from 2 species